rnacentral:rRNA from 1 species
UACGAAGGGGGCUAGCGUUGCUCGGAAUCACUGGGCGUAAAGCGCACGUAGGCGGACUCUUAAGUCGGUGGUGAAAUCCUGGAGCUCAACUCCAGAACUGCCUUCGAUACUGGGAGUCUCGAGUCCGGGAGAGGUGAGUGGAACUGCGAGUGUAGAGGUGAAAUUCGUAGAUAUUCGCAAGAACACCAGUGGCGAGGGCGGCUCACUGGCCCGGUACUGACGCUGAGGAGCGAAAGUGUGGGGAGCGAACAGG